UAUGGAAUAUUGGUCAAUGGGCGGGAGCCUGAACCAGCCAUGCCGCGUGUGGGAGGAAGGCCCUACGGGUAGUAAACCGCUUUUACACGGGAACAACCGCAGGUACGUGUACAUGCAUGAGUGUACCGUAAGAAUAAGGAUCGGCUAACUCCGUGCCAGCAGCCGUGGUAAUACGGAGGAUCCGAGCGUUAUCAGGAAUUAUUGGGUUUAAAGGGUGCGUAGGUGGCCUGUUAAGUCAGAGGUGAAAUACAGCGGCUCAACCGUUGCAGUGCCUUUGAAACUGACGGGCUUGAAUGUGAGAGAAGGAGGCGGAACGGGACAAGUAGCGGUGAAAUGCAUAGAUAUGUCCCAGAACCCCGAUUAAGAAGGCAGCUUCCUAGAACAUAAUUGACGAUGAUGCACGAAAGCGUGGGCAUCGAACAGGAUUAGAUACCCUGGUAGUCCACGCCAAAACGAUGAUGACUCGAUGUUAGCGAUAUACCGUUAGCGGCCCAGCGAAAGCG
rnacentral:rRNA from 1 species